CAGUAUAAUUAAUUGAACUGAGACGCCCAAGCGAAUAAGCAUUAGUGGAGCUGCAGCCACUGUCUUUCCACCACUGCUACCUGGGAGGAGGCCCCCAGCAGAGAGUGAUUGCUACAGAUAAAUAACUGAAGAGAUGCAGGCCUCUCACUGGGAUCAAUACUUAGAGCCACCACUGGCAUGAAAACACAUGCCUUUGCAGUGAGGUGCUGGUCCUGCAAUGUGAUGGAAAAGGCCACCAGGACCAGUGGGACAGAGCUCACCUAGAGGGCAGAACAACGCCAGGCAAGGCCUGUGGAUGGCAGCGGCUUUCUCCAGAGCUGACUUAUAUACCAUGAUCUUGCAACACAGGAUUUCUGUACAACAGGCAAGUUUCUGCUCAAGGCUGAUUUUGAAUUUCAGGGUCUUUUGACAGUAUGAAUGCGGUCAAGAAAAGCUGUUAGGGCCCACAACAGAUAAGAUCUGGGAGCCUGGUCUGCACCCCUUAUGCUGGGUAGCAUCUUUCUUCCAGGCCAAAGCCACUAGGACAAUGAGUUCUAAUUCUUUUCUUUGAGUUACUGGAAGAUGGAGGACAUCCCAACAAAGAAAUUACCAAAGUAAUUUUAUGGAAAAGUGCUAUUUUGUUCAAGCGACUUUCCACAAAGCUUCUAUCAGGAAGGCUUUGGGAUCAGAAACAGAGACAGCCAAAUGAAACUGCAGAUGUGCAAUUACAAUACUGGCUGGAGGAGGGCGGAUCAGGUUCGAGCUCCUCCUCCCCCUGAUUCACCCCCAUCAGAGAAGGGAAUGACGCGUGCCUGGGUCUGGCAUUUCUCACACCAGGACCACAGCCUCCCAGCGGCAGAUUGCUGCGCACACACACUGCUCUCCACAUUUUCACAGCGCAAUGCGGAACAAAAACAGAUCUUGAAACCCCAGCAGUUUCCACAGGAGAGAUUUACAGUGCUACAAGCCCUACGAAACUGUGUUUCUCUCUGUGAUAGAGGCUGACCUGGCUGACAGACUAUGCUAGGACAGGCAGACAGAUAAAUCAACUGACCGACAGGGAAACCCCUUUGAACACCACAGAUGCGCCUGGGCGCAUUGAAAUCGCUCACCUUCAGAUCAAAGAUCUUCUUGUCACAGAGGGAGCAGACAUGGGGGAAGUGGAGGGGAGCCACACCAUGAAGGUCGUUCAGCUCGUGGGGCUGCAGUGACCUCAUGGGCAGGUCGGGCGCGCCGGCGCUCAGCUCCUCAUUCUGCCUCAGCCGGGGGCUGCCGAAGCUCUGCUUGCCAUUGUUGAGCCUGCCGAAUGCCGGGGCAGCGGCCGUGCUAAACUUUGUGUCAGGUGUCGGUUCUUCGGGGUUGUACAGCUCGUUUCUUAUUUCAUACGGCUGCUGGCUUGCUGAUGGCCACAUGCUGUCACUGGGCAGGAGGUCAGACUUGUUUUGGCUGGAGAAAUUGGGGAUAUUUUCCCACUGGUUGCUUGUACCUGUGCCAUGUAAGAUGGGGCUGGGAUCUCCUUUUGGAUGAGCGCUGGUGUGUGGGUCGCCGGGGAAGGCAGGCGCUGCCCCAUAGGCAUCUUUCUGGAACCCUGCUGGAGAGUCGUGCUUCAGCGGGCCGGCGGGGCCAAAGGGCCCCUCGUAGCGAGCUCCAACUGCCGAAGGGAAGCCGGGCUGAUCCCCUUCCGAGGCGUAGCCCUGUGGGGCGCUGACAUUUUGCUUGCUGUACUCAUAAAAGCCCCCAGCGGCGGCAGCAGCGGAGGGGCCCACCUUGUUGAGUCCAACGACCACGGGCUGCUGGCUGGAGGUGGGAGCCAUGACGCCUCCAAAGGGACUCAUGACGAUGGCGUUGGGGGCCUGGGCCUGCAUGGGCCCCAGGCUGCCCCCUGCGCUCUGUGCGGGAAAGGCGAUGCCGCCAGAGGAGAACCUUGUGCUAGCAAUGGCAGGCCCUGGCGGAGGGCCACCUGCAGAGUGUCCCGGAGAAGCACCCAUCACGGAGGGGUGCCUCAGCUGGUUGAAGAGCGGCUGGGACAUGGCCACUUUGGAGAGCACCUGGUUGAGGACUGUGGCGGCAGCCGGGUUGUUGGUGACGGCGGUCUGAGCCAACUUCAGCCUGUGCAGUGUGAGCUGUGCCUGGAGCUGGGCCAGCUGCAGGCUGGCCGGAGAGGGGAGCAGGGGGCUCGGGGCACUGACGGAGAACGGGCUCUUCUCCAGGAGCUUGGCAGCGCUGCAAAGGAUCAGGAUUGGGUUAGCUGAAUUCACUCGAAAUCUGACUGCGCUCACCUCUUGCUACAGCCCAGCAUGAGACAAGCCAUCAGUGUGAUAAUUCACUCGUCUAAACACAGAGGGAACAAGGUGGUGGUCAGCAACGCAGUCAUAAUACAACACCUUCGCUUAAAACUCUGCUGCUAUACCAUUUUCAAUCAAAAAGUUAUGAGGGAGACAAGCGCAUCAAAGGCCUCUCUUGAAAAUUCUCAUUUCACCCCUCACAGACCCCCUGGAUCAGGCCUUUAGCCUUCAAGCUCCCAUAUAAUUCAUACUCAUACAGCAGACCAGGAGAAGAGGCAACACGAGCAAAUCUUUGUUUUUCCAUUGUUCUAUGCAACCUUUGCCCUUCCUGCUCUGGCACACGCUGUGCUGUUACGUUAUGUUUGGUGGGACCAGCACCACCUUUUCUUACAGAGCAGGAGGAAGUGAGGAAAGGGACAUCAGAUGGAAUUGUAAAACCAACCUGGUAAGAACUUCACAACUGGAACAUAAAGCAAAAUUUCUGCAGCGUAAGCUGCUGAAAAUCAGGGUCUUUAUACUAUCUAGAAAUUACAGGUGUAUUGAGUGUUCUCCAUUAAGUCUUAAACGUGGGGUAAAUACACAGUAACUAAUUGCCUGCUUGAAUUCCAAAACUAAGAAUAUAGGAGAUGACACAUCGAGGUGUAUGGCGGGUCCUGGCAUUGGAAAGCACCUUUGGGAGAUCUCUGCUCACACCACGACCGCCGCUUUCAUCAUAUGAAACACUGCAAACAUUAAAUGGGGGGGAAAAAAAUCCUAAAUUUGUUAAGUCUAACAAAUCUAUAUAAGCAAGUGAAAUGUUAUAAAGGAAAAUAUCAGGCAAUGCUGUGCUCACCCUGCUUUUCCUGCCCCCUGCAUCCUUCUACAUCCAGCAUCACCAAUGGCAGAGCCAGCCUGGUGCGUGUGUACAUACACCAUCCCACGGCCGCGCUCUUUCUGCAUGUCAUGCUGGAUACCAGCAGCCAUUUUCAUUCCCCCAUCAGAAAAAUGUUAGCCAUCACUUCUUCCACCCACAGGAGCCUUUGCUCACAGAUGGUACAACAACUCAACACAUUACAGACGGCUGCUGGCCCUGAAAAUGAGAGCAGAGAGCACCGAGUAGAAGGGAUGCAGUCCAAAACUCAAUUAAUUUAUAUUGUAAAACUGUAUUUGGAGUUUUGAUUUAGGCCUUUCAAAGCAGCAGGGGCUACACAUCAACCGCCAUGCAGCGCUCACUGUUAAUAAUCAGCCAAUUUGCUCAACUGCAUGGAUGAAGUUGUAGCUAAUGAUAAAUGUCUUGUCAGCGUGCUACAUUUGAAAACCACAAAUUAGGAAAACAUCUGCUUAAAUCCAAAGUAUGACUAAGAGAAAAUGAAUGGGUUUCGUGUUUAACAUUUCACUUCCACCAGCAACUGCAAGGCACAUCUGUCUCCAAAAAUACAAAAUGCCAUUUGGAUAAGUGCAUCGUUAUGUAAUGACGAGACUGCUGUCAGCACAAGCUGACACCAGCAUGCUUCUGCACUGAGGUGCCUUUUGUUUUCCUGCAUGGCUUCCAUCCCUACCUCUGAAUCACAUUUAUAGUAAGGUUUCCUAUAAAUCUGACCACAGAUGAAAGUCAGGGUGGAACUAUAGCCAAAACAAGAGGGAGGCUGGGGGAAUCCCAGCACGCAGGGUGCUGAGGGCCCCUCAAAGCUGCUCAGAAGCCCCAUGGAGUGCAAGGGGCUUAGCAAGCAGAUGAUCCCACAUCAGCACAGCAUGCACACUGCUGUCACUGCCUGGGAAUGCAGAGUGACCCCAAACUGUGCCACUAGCAUCUGCACUGCACAGGACUCACCACGCUCACAGCUACUGUUUAAUUUUAUAGCUGCUUGUAAGUUCUGUACGUUAAGCAAGCUGCAAAACUGUUUUUAAAAGCUUUAUAGAGCAUGCAAAUAUGAACUGCCUGGUGGCCCUAAAAUAAAAUAGUUGACAGACAGCAUGUAAUGCUUUCAGGCUCAGAAGCUGCAGAGGACUGCUGUUCCCAGCAACCUACUUGUGCUGUGCUGCAAGCCCGUGGAGCAGCCUGCACAUCCCCACUCUGUUGGCUGCCUGCUGGAUGUGGGCAUGGUCCCUCCCUGUGAAUCCAAUCCAAUACUCCUGCAAGCCCCUGAGCUCCCCCAGACCUGCUGCACAGCUUGUACUUUGUCUGACCCCAGCAUGCACACAGUCACUGCCAGAGUACCCUGGCUUACAAGCUUCUGCCCAACUCCGCAGGCUGGUGGUGGGCAGCUGGGGGCUGUCAGGAGCUACCUCACCUGGGAGAAAACUAAUGUUGAAAGGAGAAGCUGCAGCCCCCCCAGCCUCUCACAGAGGGACGGAAUUAGCAAAAAGGGUCAUUCCCAUGCACUCCUAGUUUUGGGAAUGGCCCUGGCUUCAGCUGUCUGGUUUGCAUUUCCAGAUUUCCAGGGUACUUCAGUUGCACACUUUAUCCUCCCACAGCAGAAACAGAAUAUUUUAGCAUCUAAUCAAGCCAAAGAAGGAAGGACAUGCUUGUGGGGCAGUGGGAAAAGCAAACGUGCAGACGAGAGGUCAGGAAGACAGUUGUGUAUAGAGCAUCUCUUAGAGCAGCGCCCAAAUUGAAGGAUUUCUGUUACGUUACAAAAUACAGGCUGUAAGAGGCGUGCAGGACUGCCAUGCACAGCUUUUAAAAUUUCUUCUCCUCUUUCUGUUAUAGAAUCAUUGAAUUUACACACUCAAUAACACCACUUGGCAAAUCAUCCCACUGCAGUUUUACUAACUCACUGAAAACUGCAAACCCAAUGUGAAGAUGGUGUUUGGCUUCGGCAUUUCGUGGGGCCAUUCGCCUCUCGUACACACACAGCUCCCACCCUGGCUCGUCCUCACAUUACUGACACACAGCCCCUGGCUGCUCAGGGUGGGAGAUGCUGCUAUACAGCCUCACUCCUCACUAAGCCUGCAGUGGACAAAGUGAGCUCUGUCCUCCUUGCAAAACGUUCCUCUUGGUGAGGUCAGCAAUGUAAAAGGUUAACUGAAGCGGUUCCCUUUGUUAACCGAAAGCCCCGCACCAACUGAGUCCCUGCCCAGCUCUGGGAGCUGGGAGUUGAAGAAGUGCAUCACCUGCUACAAAAGUCAUAACGAAAUUGCAAGCACUGGCAAGGCCGUAUUGCUAUCAAUCAAUUCUACCAAUCUGCUACCCUCAUAAUCCUUAUCAUGCUUUUAGCAUCCAAGAGCACUGAGCAGCACACAGGGUCGGAGGUAAAGCAUCCAGACCGCUGGAUUAUUGGAGUAAAACCGUCUGCGAGAGCAAUGAAAGGCUGAGCCCAGAACACAUCGAUCGCAACAGGCCAACCAGCCAGAGCAUCAUUCCCAAGUGACAAAAUUCAGGCUGCUGGGCACCUCUGAGAACUAGGAAAUAAAUUAUAUAAAGAAAAAUCACCAAACAAAACUACUGAAGUUGUGAUCUCAGCUUCUUAUUCAGAAAUUAUUUCUAUCCAGAAGUAUUUGAAGUGCUGAAUAGGGGAUUAAUUUGAAGUCUUCCAAAACAGAUUAAUUCACUGCUGUGAAUCUUGCACAACUUCUAAGAUAUUGUAUCCCUUGCCCCACAACCCUUCUGCCUUUAUGUAUAGCUAUACUGAGUAGUCAAAAUCUCCGAAAGAAAUUUGUUAUUAUUUUCACUACAAAAUGUUUUGCAAUAUGUACUUUUCCCAAGGCCUUCGUACUACUGUGCUUAUUUCAGAACUGAAGUAGCCAAGGAUCCAAAGACAUCUAAGGAAGCCAGAUGUACGACUGCUCUUCAAUAACCCAUACUACAUUUCUGACCACCUGCAACAACAUGCUGUUUUGCAUCCAUUUAAAGUGUUUCUGAAUCAAUUUUCCUAACAGAAAACUUACAAUUUUUAAUUCGGUACCCUUGAACUCAGCAAAGAGAACUAUUUUCUGAUUAUCCGAGCACAAAAGCAACAACACACUGUUAUGCAGAAACGUGAAUAUCCCUUCCUUGUAAUGCAUCAUUUAUUCAAGCAGCACAGGACUGCCUUCUCGAAACUCAUCCAGAGCAAUUGCUGCUGCACUAAAAGUGAAACAAAAAAACUGAAGAUAAACAAAUCACAUUCUAUGUAGAUGAAGCUGAAAAGACAUUAUGGGUACAACCACCCUCAAAUAAAAAAAUGCACUCUUUGUCAGCACUGCAGGGAGAGCCUGUGUUCGUACCCCAGGACACAAUUUGGCUGCCUGAAUUCAACGGGACUGCAAAGCUGCAUUUCACACGCUGGUAGAAGAAAACACCAAGCUCAGCCAUCUCAAAAGCAUACAAAAAUCAGUUUUACUGGCAAAACAACAAGACCUGGGGGCAAACACAGCAGCCACCUCUCAGAUAACGACGGCAAUCACGGACGCAAAGCUGGAAGUGAUGCUAGGAGGACGGCUGGACUAACUCCGAGGUGGCAUCAAGCUGAACUCGGUGACUCCUGACAUACUCAUUUAAUCUGCUCUUAAGAACCUGCCUUGCUGGGAUUUCUCCAACCUCCUUUUUCUGCACGUCUCACAUAUUGCAUUUGUUUGCAAUGCUCAAGUGCUUUCCUUCUCAGCAGCGCAACCCAACCCCUUUCCUGAAGCUGCUGCCCCCCUGCAAACCAGAGACAUUGGUUGGGAAGAAUCCCUCACACCAUGCUGCUCUGACUUUCCAUGGGAAUGGCUGGCUCAGACCCUUCCAUGUUUGAUCAUCCAAUGGAUUUUUUUGUUACCAUUUCAUGUUGCCCUCAUCAAUACUGCAUCCAGGUUAUGCCAGAUCCGAUUUGUCAGGAUUACUCUGGAUUCCUAUGCUGCCUCCAAAGCACUUGUAAAUCCUCACCUCUUGGCACUAGCUGUAGAUCUAAUGGGUGCUUUUUUUACCCAAGUCAUCAAUGAAAGUGUCAAAAAUUCUUCCCAAGAAGGGAAUGAUGAUGCACCUUCCCAUUUUUCCUCUGAACACUAUUACUCUAAAGACAUCUCCACCUUGCAAAUCUGCUUGUGUGCUGAAGAGACCACACUCUUUUCUGCUAAAAACAAAUCUAAAACAACAACAACAACAACAACAAUAAUAAUAAAAAUACUGUUCUGACUUAUUUAGAGCUGUGAGAGUGAAAGGCUAGAUCAAUCCACAGCGAGAUUUCUUAUUAUCGAUUCCUGUGGUUCUGGCAGAGAUAUUUUGAUUAAAACACACUUACAAUGAAUGAAAAGAAAACAAAACAUGUUUUUAUUGGCUUAGCCACUUCCAAAUGCCCAAGCCAAUGCCAUAGACAGCAAUUCUCACCUGCACCAUUAGAAGAAUCAGGUAUCUUUGAAUUUUGUAGCGGUCUUUGCACUUCCCCUCCCUGUUACUGUGUAUUGUUUUUCAGUAUAUUUUUUACAAUGGAAAUACAUUUCUUAUUUGCAUGGAAGCCCAGAUUGUUUAUUACACUUCUUUCUGCUUUCCCUCCUGCAAUGCAUGUCUCCGUAAAUAUUUAAUUAAGCAAAGUUCAACUGUUUUCAAAUAAAGGAUUUAACCAGCAAAUGCAUCACAUGAACCCAAGGUUACGGGGAAGGAUUUUCGGAAGCUGCUGAAGUUGCUGUUUAAAUGUCCUGUUCCAGAACAUUUAAGUGCUGUUUGGUUCCAAUGACGUGUCAAGGUCUCUAAGGAUCAGCGCGCAUACAGCAGCACUGCUUUGUAUUUUAAACUCCUGUACAUUGCCAGACAAAUUCAUGUAGCUGUACUGCAUCCAUCUAUUCGCAAAUACUUCCCAAGGAAACAGUUCUUUGUUUACUGAAC